AUUAUGUAUAAAAUAUAAAUUUUUGAUAUUUUUAUUAAAUUAAUUAAUAUUUUAAAUGAUUAAUUAAGUCGGAAGAAUAUGACAACAAUUUCUUUAAAAAGCGUUUGAAAUUAGAAUUAAAAUUUAUUUAUUAGAAUAAACUAGGAUUAUUAAAAUGAUGGAAAAAUAGGAAAACAUUUUUAAAACUUUAAAUAAUUUCAAAAGAUUAAUGUUUGAAAAAUGGUAUGCUGAUAGCCAUAUUCCCCAAAGUAUGGGGUAAUAUGGCAAGAAUUAAAAGAUAAUAUGCUACAAUGUUCAAAAUACUUUUAAACAGUAAAUUAAUAUGGAAAAGACUAAUAUAUAAAAAUUAGGAAAUUGUACUGGCAUAUAAAAUUUUAUUUGCGCUUUGACUACUACAGCAUUUAAAAACAGUUGGCCGAAUGGCUGCCGCCGUGUUGUGCUUCAACCCUGGAAGAUCCGGGUUCAGUUCUCAAGUCCUACAUCUCCAAUAUUUUCAAAAGGAGUUCGGAUGGGUCCGAACUCCUCUUGAAAAUAUUGGAGAUAUAGCUGUUUUUAAAUGGUGUGUAGUAGUCUUCUGAAAAUAUUGGAGAUCUCCAUCCUCCACCUGACGACUGACUCCAUCAGGGUGUACGUGAUCCGUAAUGGGCAUUGGAACGUCCCGCCGCUUAGUAAUCACCGAGUGGAAAGUGACGUAAAGUCAUACAGGGGAAAACUAUUCAAAAUUAGUACCACAUGUUACAACAUUUAUUUUGACACAUAGAUAUCCAAAUAAUAUGAUACAAUAUCGAUCAUUUAAUGGUCUGGGUUCUUGAAAUGAUCCUUAUAAUAUAUAUGAAUUUCAUUCAAAUCGGAUAAUAUUUACACGAGCUAUUGCAAGAAAUAUUUG
rnacentral:lncRNA from 1 species